GCUCUGCAUCUAGAUUUACCUCGUUCUCUUUUGUCUCCGCUUUUUUUUCACAUUUCCUUGCGACCCUGGCCCUUGAGCGACAAAAAGGGGAAGCCAAGGCUGGCCCGAGGAACGGAGAGGGCACAUGGCCUAGCCACAAGUGGAGCUUCUGCUCCGCCCGAAGGGAUGCGCUGGAGCGGCCUCUUCCUUCUGCCACGGUCUUUCUUUGCCAACUAUAGAGAUGGGGUUUCACCAGGUUAGCCAGGCUGGUCUUGAACUCCAGACCUCAAGGGAUCCGCCUGCCUCAGCUUUCCAAAGUGCUGGGAUUACAGGUGGAGACUGGACCUCAGAAGAGGGAGUGGGUGCCCCGAGAACUCACAGCUAGCGGACAGUGGAAAGGGCAGGAGCCGGACCAAGGUGAGGACAGUGGAACUGAAGGCCGCUGGUUACCUCUCCUGCCCUCCGCUGGCCACAGUGGAGAAGACAGCCCCUCCCUCCUGCUCUGACCUGACAGUGUUCAUCCAUCGCCCUGUAUUAGCGAAGAACAACAUCAAGCUGGCUAGCAAGGAACUGUAUACAGGGUCCAGCUGGGUAUCACACUGGAUCUCACCCAAAGCUUAGAUGUGAUCCAGCUCAGUAUCACAAAGCAGAACGAAAAGGAUGUGUUUGGGCUGAGAGGCCAUACAUUGGCUCCGGCAUGACGGGUGACUUCUUCCGAGUCUGGCUUCUGCAGCACACAGGGCUUCGCCAGCACCCAGCUCCUGCAGCAUGGGCAGCUCCUGUGACAGCAGGCGCCCGCAGCCUGCAAAGCGUCUCCAGUGCCGCCGCCUCAGUGAACCUCAACCAGCGGCACCUAGCAGCUUUCUCUGCCACCCUCUUCAGGUAGUUCUGUAGCAGCGCGUUUCUCAUGAGACACUUCCCUGUGAGCAGCUUUUUCUACCCUUGAGGAUGGAUUUCCAGCAAAUUCUGCCCAUGUGGUACCACAGCCACUUCUCUGCCAUUCAGUGAAACUGCCGUUGUGCCCUCUUCAAGGUCUGGAUCUAAGCCCAGGGACCAGGAAACCUCUUGCUUGAGUGCUGGAACUCAGGCCAGAAGGCAGGAAGCCCGCCUGACCCCAUGUCUCAGGCUGCCAGAGGAGCGUGCGAUGAGGAAGGCUGGACUGUCUUCACAGGACACCAGGGAGAAGCCUCAAGCCACUGCCCCCUGACAAGUCGCAGCUCUCCAGCCUGUCUCCUCACUCCCCUCCCCUCCACAUGGGGGGGUUGGGGUGGGGGCGGGGAAGGUUCGGGGCAGGGGUCAUUUCAGCUACUGGGCACCAGUCUCCUCCUCAUGUUUAUCCUGUUCCCUUUGCUUGAAAGGUUCGUACUCCAGAUCCUUGUAAAACCGCUUCUCACCCUUUGAGUCUCAGCUUAAAUGUCCCCUCCUUGGAGGGGUCUUCCCUGACAAUGAAGCUCCGACCGUCCUCUCCUGUUUUACCCAGUUCAUUUCUUUCUGGCAUUUGUAACUACUUGAAGUUAAAGUGUGUGCCAUGU
rnacentral:lncRNA from 1 species